rnacentral:misc_RNA from 1 species
AACCUAGCACACCUGCGGUGUGUACCUGCGGAAGGAUCAUUACACAUAUUACGGGGGGUCGGUCACCCAGAGCGUCGCCUCUUAGCACCUCUGGGCCCUGCCCUGUCUGAAUAUUCUACCCAUGUCUUUUGCGCACUCUUCGUUUCCUCGGUGGGCUUGCCUGCCGAUAGGACACUAUAAAACCUUUUUGUAAUUGCAAUCAGCGUCAGAAAAACUUUUAAUAGUUACAACUUUCAACAA